CAUAUAAUAUCUAUGACAUAACAAUACGUUUAUUUCCUGGCGGACAAUACGUUAUAAGUCAGUUGAAGGUAAUUCUAUCCGCAGUGUACACGUUUUCUCACUGUUUCUAUCUUGCUAUCUCUUAUAUUCUGCAUGGAUGAUCUACAAGCUUGGUGUCUCGACUACAAGAGGAAAAUUGAGUCAAAGAUACAGCCUCAUCCCUCAACAUACUGCUUAAUUUGGAAUGGUGGGACAAAGUCAUCCUCCCCUUACAGUGUUAUCAACGUCUCGUGGUUCCCGGAUUCCCCCAGUUUACGCGUCGACAGUUCUACGUUCAUAGAGCAGCUUACAUGGUGUAUUCUGGUAGACUAGAUCUACAAAAUCUACAUGUUUGCCAUCGCUGUCACUCUCCCCUCUACCAUCAUCUGUCUUAGGAGACAUAGUCAGUUAACAAGUGAAAGGCAACAGGAGUGUAACAGUCACGGAGACAAGCCAGAUUGUAUUUUUGAGUAGAGUAGGCAAGAGGCUGUGGCUCCAAAGAAGGCGCCAAAGAAGACUGCGAAGGAGAAGAUGACUGUGCAGAAGAGUUCUGCCACACAGAAGAGUAAGAAGGCGAAGAAGACUGCGAAGGAGAAGACGACUGUGCAGAAGAGUUCUGCCACACAGAAGAGUAAGAAGGCGAAGAAGACUGCGAAGGAGAAGACGACUGUGCAGAAGAGUGCUGCCACACAGAAGAGUGAGGAGAAGGAUGCUGCAGAAGAAGCAUCCGCAGUAGAGGCAGCAGCUGAAAAACACCCUUUCAUGCUGUUUCCUCAGUGUCACAUGAAGUAUUCGCACGCUGGUCUGAUUGAUGCGGAGGCUAUAGAUGAGCUGGGUAAGAAUUCAGAUAAAAACAAUAAUACCGCAACGGGUUGACCGACAGCUCUCAGGACAAGCUUGUUGGAAUCGACACAUAACAAUGACAUACCAGAACUGCAAUCGUUUUCUGUGGUCUGUUCUGAUUACGAAAUCUUACAAGUUCUUGUUCCGAUUAUUUUUCUUCUAGACCUUGAUGUCCAUUGGAUGCCCCACAUAACGCCAUACAUAGCAAAUUAUGGUCCAACCAAAUCUUACUGGAUGUACAUAUACGAGAGAAUGAACCAUUUCCUGUCGGAGAGGGCGACAAGUAACAAGCAUCCAGAGGCUGCAGCAGUAUCGAGACUAUGGUGGCCACUUGCCAAACACCCUUUGCUUGCAGCUGGACAACUCUGCAAAAGAAUGCAAGAAUAAGUUCAUCAUAGCUUUCUCUGUGUGGCUUGUAAAGCUCGGAAUUUUCAAAAAGGUACACUUUCACAGACACAAAGACUCUAUAACUUUGUUCUAAGGCUAAUGCAUUGAAUGUAAUACGAAAAUCCAAAGUAAACAUUGUAGCAGGCAUGUAAUGUAAGUUUGCUCUCUUAGUCUUUGUCUAUCAUUUAUAUGAUUUCAAAUUACAUUGUAACACAUGACAGCUGGAUUGUAGUUUUGCAAAUCUUAAAGUUUACAGCCAUUCCUGGGAAAAUUUUUACUUCUUUGCAUUUCCAGGUGACCCUUCUUGGUGAUGAUUGCAAUAUGUGAAAUCAAUAAGCAGUGUACUGACUCAUAAGACUUAAUAUCAUGAUGUAUGAGUUACAUGUACCAAAAAUCUUAAUUUAAGGUUGAUGAUAAUGUGACAUGAAAGGAAUUAUGCCAUCAUUUUACACUUGUUCUUUUCCAUUGAUUGUAGGUCAACCUUGGGUACUUGAUGCCUGGGCAUACCCACGAGGACGUGGAUCAGCUUUUUAGCAGGAUUUCAGUGCACUUGCAACACAAUGAUGCCUCCACACUUCCUGACCUUUCUAGGUCCUGACCAUUAGGUCAAGCUACAGCCCUGAGCCAGAAUGCAGGUACAGUACUCAAAAUGCAUUGUCUAAAUGCUUACAGAACAGCAUUAUUUCUUGACAAAUUAAGAAACGUACAGCAGCAGAGGACCUUAAGAUAUUGACAAGUACUUGGUGAAUUUUACAUUGUUUGGAUACAAAACUUAAAACAGCAACUAACAGAUUGUGAUUCUAAAUUUGUCAAAAAUGCUCAUCUUCAUUGCUCCAACCUGCUAAUUUGCUCUUCACAAUGUUGUAUGCUACUUAAACAGAGGAUUUUCUCACGGAUGAAGUACUGGAGGAGGUACGGACGCCUCCCCCACUCUUCUCCGCGGCAAAAGUCUUGGCGGCGUUGAACUCCUUAGAAGAGAAAGCUAAAGUUGUCAACCAUGUUAACAUUCCGACGUUCACUGCUACGGUGAACGAGACCAAAGUUUAUUUUAGGCACUGACUAUAUGCAAAUCCCUGACAGACGGGUUCGUGUGUCCUUUGGGGGCACUCUACUACUCUAUAAUUGAGGGGCUCCAAUUUAUCCUGGCCAAAUUGGCCAUGAUUUUCAACAGUUCGGUCAACACCAUCACCCAUGCCAAGCAUUUACUGUCUAAAAUCAAUACCACGGGGGAAGGGGCUGGCAGCAAAAAACUCUUCAACGAGCUGCUGGAGUCGUACAGAGAAGAGGAGCAAACUGCUGUUACGAACAGUAAAAUCAGACACAGUACGCAAAGUUCUUGGAAUGGAUCUCUGCUGUCGCAAUAAGCGUUCAGCCUUGUAUACAAAGUCAAUGCUCAAGGAUAAAAGGUCAAUCUACUUCAGUGCGCCCGCCAGAGAUGAGUGGAUUAAUCAAAACCUUGCAAACUUUCAGAUCGGUGAAGACAGAAUGCAGCUCCAGUUUAACGUG